GAUGAACGCUGGCGGUAUGCUUAACACAUGCAAGUCGAACGAACUCUUCGGAGUUAGUGGCGGACGGGUGAGUAACGCGUGAGAAUCUGCCUCUGGGUUCGGGACAACAGUUGGAAACGACUGCUAAUACCGGAUGUGCCUACGGGUGAAAGAUUUAUUGCCUAGAGAUGAGCUCGCGUUGGAUUGGCUAGUUGGUGUGGUAAGAGCGCACCAAGGCGACGAUCUAUAGCUGGUCUGAGAGGACGAUCAGCCACACUGGGACUGAGACACGGCCCAG
rnacentral:rRNA from 1 species